rnacentral:rRNA from 1 species
AGCAGUCGCCACGGUAAUACGUAGGAGGCAAGCGUUAUCCGGAAUUAUUGGGCGUAAAGCGCGCGUAGGCGGUUUUUUAAGUCUGAUGUGAAAGCCCACGGCUCAACCGUGGAGGGUCAUUGGAAACUGGAAAACUUGAGUGCAGAAGAGGAAAGUGGAAUUCCAUGUGUAGCGGUGAAAUGCGCAGAGAUAUGGAGGAACACCAGUGGCGAAGGCGACUUUUUGGCCUGUAACUGACACUGAGGCGCGAAAGCGUGGGGAGCAAACAGGAUUAGAUACCCCCGUAGUCCCUGUCUCUUAUAC